GCGGCCGUGCACGCGCUCUGCUGGGCACGUGGGGCCCCUUCGUCCCCGGCGUCCGGGCGCCUGGUCCCAGCCCCCACCUUGGCCUCCGUCCGGCGGCUGCGUCCGCGACGCAGAGAGACUCGAGCGAGAGUCACCCGCCCGGCCGAGGGCCGCUCGGGCUGGUGGCGUUAGGAACGGGGGCCGCUGGAAUGGCGUCCAUUUACAUAAUGCUUUGUUUGCACUUGGUCGGCUCCGGUUAGGGAAGCCCUCGGAGGCGCUACCUCCUGCCCUCGUGUUUUAUGUCCCACGACAGUUCCCGAGACCUUAGAGGAGCGGUGCGCAUUGACGGGGUGCCGGCAUGGCCCCCCGCAUGUCCGCGCUGGCUCGCCCGCCGCCUGGACCACGCUCUCGGGAGGCGGCCAAGCCUGGGCGCCGCCGCCAUCUUGGGAGGUCGCCCUGACCGAGGCCUCCCGCCGGGAAAUGGCCCUCGAGACGCUGGAGAGCGCCUUGUGCUUUCUUUGCCGGCUCCUCGUGCCGCCGCCAUAGUCAGCCUGGAGGAGGUCGUGUGAAGGAACGUGUUGUUUAAUACUUGACCGAAAGGACCAGCGUGGCGUUCCUCACCCCACCCCCACCCCCGGAGCGGGGAGGGCUGGCGGCCAUGUUUCCCAACAAAAUGGCGACACGUGUCGCCAUCGAGAAAUUGGGCAGGGUCUGAAAGCUCUAGAACGUGCCUUUCAUCAGUCUCAGAAUUUCCCAUAGGAUGAAACAGCUAGAGGUGCUUUUGGAAGAAAGUUAAUGCCCUUGUUGGGCCGAAAAAUAAAUAAAAUGCAGGCCGGACACGGGAUUUUUUUAAAAACUAAGUAAUGGCAGGCAAGUGUGUGCCUGUGCAUGUGUGUGUGCGCGCGCGUUGUGUGCACAGUAUCUAACCAAGUACCCAAGCAUCUAGAGAAAUUUUCUAGUUUUUUCUAGACGUUGUACAGGUGGUGCUGUAACUGAUUAAAGAUUGUUAUGGCUAAGAAGCCAUAGAAUGGCUAUGUCUCACUAUUCAACUGUCCAGUGAUCGUAAAGUUCACAGUUAUGUCCACUUUUCCACCUUUAUAGUCAAGAGGAACAGAUUGUGGUUGUGGGUGUGCCACAGCAGAUUCCAUUCUAAACAUCCCAUGCAAUAUAAUUAUUUUUAAUUGAAAAUUCCAUGAAGUGGGUAUUUAUUUCUCUUUUUUUUUCCCCAACAGAGCAAGACAAUCCCAGAGAGAUGAAGUGACUGACCCAAGGUUACACAGAGUGGAAUCUGUAUCUUCUGAUUUCUCUACUGGCCUGCACUCCAUGUUCUGAGGAGGAAUCCUUGAAGCUACUGAGAUAAUGGAACAAUGGAGUAGAUAGUCCAUUAUAACUCAUCUGGGAUUCUUCUCAUCUUCAAGUGACCACAGGUGGAAACAGUCUGGUAACACCACGCUUCCGAAGGUGAUUGUGGAGCUAGAUUGCUUAACCUUGGGGCUGCAGAAGUGUUAAGAGUGCCUGCUUGUCUUCGAGAGGACCGGAGUUCAAUUCCCAGCAUCCAUACCUGGAAGCUACAGGGAAUUCAACACUCUCUUCCUGACUUCCUCAACCAGCCCCACACAUAUGGCUUAUAAACACACAGGGAAAAAAGUAAAGGAAAUCUUAAAAA